rnacentral:rRNA from 1 species
CAGGCAUCUGUUAUCAAUUAAAGAAUUUCGGAAACGGAUAGGGCUCGCGUGGACAUUAGCUAGAUGGCGGGGUAACGGCCCACCAUGGGCGACGAUGUCUAGGGGUUCUGAGAGGAAGGUCCCCCCACACUGGGAACUGAGACACGGUCCAGACUCCUACGGGAGGCAGCAGUGAGGAAUAUUGGUCAAGUGGUCGAGAGACUGAACCAGCCAUGCCGCGUGAAGGUGACGGCCCUAUGGGUCUUAAACUUCUUUUGUAAGGGAGCAAUAAGGUUCACGUGUGGACUGAUGAGAGUACCUUACGAAUAAGCAUCGGCUAACUCCGUG